UAACGCGUAUCCAACCUUCCGUACACUCAGGGAUAGCCUUUCGAAAGAAAGAUUAAUACCUGAUGGUAUGAUGAGAUUGCAUGAUAGCAUCAUUAAAGAUUUAUCGGUGUACGAUGGGGAUGCGUUCCAUUAGGUAGUAGGCGGGGUAACGGCCCACCUAGCCAACGAUGGAUAGGGGUUCUGAGAGGAAGGUCCCCCACAUUGGAACUGAGACACGGUCCAAACUCCUACGGGAGGCAGCAGUGAGGAAUAUUGGUCAAUGGACGAGAGUCUGAACCAGCCAAGUAGCGUGAAGGAUGAAGGUCCUACGGAUUGUAAACUUCUUUUAUAAGGGAAUAAACCCUCCCACGUGUGGGAGCUUGUAUGUACCUUAUGAAUAAGCAUCGGCUAACUCCGUGCCAGCAGCCGCGGUAAUACGGAGGAUGCGAGCGUUAUCCGGAUUUAUUGGGUUUAAAGGGAGCGCAGACGGGUCGUUAAGUCAGCUGUGAAAGUUUGGGGCUCAACCUUAAAAUUGCAGUUGAUACUGGCGUCCUUGAGUGCGGUUGAGGUGUGCGGAAUUCGUGGUGUAGCGGUGAAAUGCUUAGAUAUCACGAAGAACUCCGAUUGCGAAGGCAGCACACUAAUCCGUAACUGACGUUCAUGCUCGAAAGUGUGGGUAUCAAACAGGAUUAGAUACCCUG
rnacentral:rRNA from 1 species